rnacentral:rRNA from 1 species
UAACACAUGCAAGUCGAGCGGAGACAGUGAGUAGCUUGCUAUGAGCUGUUUUAGCGGCGGACGGGUGAGUAACGCGUGAGCAACCUUUCCCAGACAGGGGAAUAACACACCGAAAGGUGUACUAAUACCGCAUAAGACCACGGGAUCACAUGACUCUGAGGUAAAAGAUUUAUCGGUUUGGGGUGGGCUCGCGUCCGAUUAGGUAGUUGGUGAGGUAACGGCCCACCAAGCCGACGAUCGGUAGCCGACCUGAGAGGGUGAUCGGCCACAUUGGGACUGAGACACGGCCCAAACUCCUACGGGAGGCAGCAGUGGGGAAUAUUGGGCAAUGGAGGAAACUCUGACCCAGCAACGCCGCGUGGAGGAAGAAGGUUUUCGGAUCGUAAACUCCUGUCCUUGGAGACGAGUAGAAGACGGUAUCCAAGGAGGAAGCCCCGGCUAACUACGUGCCAGCAGCCGCGGUAAUACGUAGGGGGCAAGCGUUGUCCGGAAUAAUUGGGCGUAAAGGGCGCGUAGGCGGCUCGGUAAGUCUGGAGUGAAAGUCCUGCUUUUAAGGUGGGAAUUGCUUUGGAUACUGUCGGGCUUGAGUGCAGGAGAGGUUAGUGGAAUUCCCAGUGUAGCGGUGAAAUGCGUAGAGAUUGGGAGGAACACCAGUGGCGAAGGCGACUAACUGGACUGUAACUGACGCUGAGGCGCGAAAGUGUGGGGAGCAAACAGGAUUAGAUACCCUGGUAGUCCACACUGUAAACGAUGAAUGCUAGGUGUAGGGGGUAUCGACCCCUUCUGUGCCGCAGUCAACACAAUAA